UAGUCCACGCCGUAAACGAUGGAUACUAGCUGUUGGGUUUCGGCUCAGUGGCUAAGCGAAAGUGAUACGUAUCCCACCUGGGGAGUACGUUCGCAAGAAUGAAACUCAAAGGAAUUGACGGGGGCCCGCACAAGCGGUGGAGCAUGUGGUUUAAUUCGAUGAUACGCGAGGAACCUUACCAGGGCUUAAAUGUAAGUUGCAUGAUCCAGAGAUGGGUCUUUCUUCGGACCACUUACAAGGUGCUGCAUGGUUGUCAUCAGCUCGUGCCGUGAGGUGUCAGGUUAAGUCCUAUAACGAGCGCAACCCCUGUUGUUAGUUGCCAGCAUGUAAAGAUGGGAACUCUAACAAGACUGCCGGUGCAAACCGCGAGGAAGGUAAGGAUGACGUCAAGUCAGCAUGCCCCUUACGCUCUGGGCUACACACGUGCUACAAUGGUCGUGACAAAGAGUUGCUAGUCUGCGAAGGCAAGCCAAUCUCAUAAACGCGGCCUUAGUUCGGAUUG
rnacentral:rRNA from 1 species